GAAAUGCGAUAAGUAGUGUGAAUUGCAGAAUUCAGUGAAUCAUCGAAUCUUUGAACGCACAUUGCGCCCCUCGGUAUUCCGUGGGGCAUGCCUGUUCGAGCGUCAUCUACACCCUCAAGCUCUGCUUGGUGUUGGGCGUCUGUCCCGCCUCCUUCGCGCGCGGACUCGCCCCAAAUCCAUUGGCGGCGGCCCUUGCCUCCCUCUCGCGCAGCACAUUGCGCUUCUCGAGGCGCGGCGGACCGCGUCCAGCAAGCAACCGUCACACCGUCUUUGACCUCGGAUCAGGUAGGGAAACCCGCUGAACUUAAGC
rnacentral:misc_RNA from 1 species